UUUCAUAUCGGGCCUAGUUUCGUCUCCAGACGAAAACGGGGGAACCAUCUUUGGGGUUAAUUCUGUGCAAGCAGAAGGGAUGCUAACUGCCAUCCUACCCGUCAGCUAACCUCGUCGGCUAAAGCAGAAAUUUG
rnacentral:sRNA from 2 species